UACGGAAGGUCCAGGCGUUAUCCGGAUUUAUUGGGUUUAAAGGGAGCGUAGGCUGUUUGUUAAGCGUGUUGUGAAAUGUAAGAGCUCAACUUUUAGAUUGCAGCGCGAACUGGCAGACUUGAGUGCGCACAACGUAGGCGGAAUUCAUGGUGUAGCGGUGAAAUGCUUAGAUAUCAUGACGAACUCCGAUUGCGAAGGCAGCUUACGGGAGCGCAACUGACGCUAAAGCUCGAAGGUGCGGGUAUCGAACAGGAUUAGAUACCCUGGUAGUCCGCACAGUAAACGAUGGAUGCCCGCUGUUAGCACCUAGUGUUAGCGGCUAAGCGAAAGCAUUAAGCAUCCCACCUGGGGAGUACGCCGGCAACGGUGAAACUCAAAGGAAUUGACGGGGGCCCGCACAAGCGGAGGAACAUGUGGUUUAAUUCGAUGAUACGCGAGGAACCUUACCCGGGCUUGAACUGCCAGCGAACGAUACAGAGAUGUUGAGGCCCUUCGGGGCGCUGGUGGAGGUGCUGCAUGGUUGUCGUCAGCUCGUGCCGUGAGGUGUCGGCUUAAGUGCCAUAACGAGCGCAACCCUUUUCUUUAGUUGCCAUCAGGUAAUGCUGGGCACUCUAUGGAUACUGCCACCGUAAGGUGUGAGGAAGGUGGGGAUGACGUCAAAUCAGCACGGCCCUUACGUCCGGGGCUACACACGUGUUACAAUGGGGCAUACAGAGUGUUGGCUUAACGCAAGUUUGGUCUAAUCUUCAAAGUGUCUCCCAGUUCGGAUUGGGGUCUGCAACCCGACCCCAUGAAGCUGGAUUCGCUAGUAAUCGCGCAUCAGCCAUGGCGCGGUGAAUACGUUCCCGGG
rnacentral:rRNA from 1 species